rnacentral:misc_RNA from 1 species
GAUGAAGAACGUAGCGAAAUGCGAUAAGUAAUGCGAAUUGCAGAAUUUCCGUGAGUCAUCGAAUCUUUGAACGCACAUUGCGCCCGCCAGUAUUCUGGCGGGCAUGCCUGUUCGAGCGUCAUUUCAACCCUCAGGCCCCCAGUGCCUGGCGUUGGGGAUCGGCCGCUGGCGUCCUUCGGGGCGCCUGGCCGGCCCCGAAAUCUAGUGGCGGUCUCGCUGUAGUCCUCCUCUGCGUAGUAGCACAACCUCGCAGUUGGAACGCGGCGGUGGCCAUGCCGUUAAACACCCCACUUCUGAAAGUUGACCUCGGAUCAGGUAGGAAUACCCGCUGAACUUAAGCAUAUCAAUAAGCGGAGGA